rnacentral:rRNA from 1 species
CACGUAGGGCGCAAGCGUUGUCCGGAAUUAUUGGGCGUAAAGAGCUCGUAGGUGGUUUGUCGCGUUGUCCGUGAAAACUCACAGCUUAACUGUGGGCGUGCGGGCGAUACGGGCAGACUGGAGUACUGCAGGGGAGACUGGAAUUCCUGGUGUAGCGGUGAAAUGCGCAGAUAUCAGGAAGAACACCCGUGGCGAAGGCGGCUCUCUGGGACGGUACUGACGCUGAGACGCGAAAGCGUGGGGAGCGAACAGG